GUGGGUAGUUUGACUGGGGCGGUCUCCUCCUAAAGAGUAACGGAGGAGCACGAAGGUUGGCUAAUCCUGGUCGGACAUCAGGAGGUUAGUGCAAUGGCAUAAGCCAGCUUGACUGCGAGCGUGACGGCGCGAGCAGGUGCGAAAGCAGGUCAUAGUGAUCCGGUGGUUCUGAAUGGAAGGGCCAUCGCUCAACGGAUAAAAGGUACUCCGGGGAUAACAGGCUGAUACCGCCCAAGAGUUCAUAUCGACGGCGGUGUUUGGCACCUCGAUGUCGGCUCAUCACAUCCUGGGGCUGAAGUAGGUCCCAAGGGUAUGGCUGUUCGCCAUUUAAAGUGGUACGCGAGCUGGGUUUAGAACGUCGUGAGACAGUUCGGUCCCUAUCUGCCGUGGGCGCUGGAGAACUGAGGGGGGCUGCUCCUAGUACGAGAGGACCGGAGUGGACGCAUCACUGGUGUUCGGGUUGUCAUGCCAAUGGCACUGCCCGGUAGCUAAAUGCGGAAGAGAUAAGUGCUGAAAGCAUCUAAGCACGAAACUUGCCCCGAGAUGAGUUCUCCCUGACCCUUUAAGGGUCCUGAAGGAACGUUGAAGACGACGACGUUGAUAGGCCGGGUGUGUAAGCGCAGCGAUGCGUUGAGCUAACCGGUACUAAUGAACCGUGAGG
rnacentral:rRNA from 1 species